AGAUUUUAUCCAGCAAGAAUCGGCCGUACAACAGACGCUCUAUGACUCUAUGAAAUACUGAAGGAGGGGUACAUGUUUAAGCUCUCGGCGAUUAUUGAGAAUUUAAAUGUACAUUGUUAAGAGGUGCCAAUUUUAAGGCACCUUCCACAGUGGGGCUUAGGUUGUCCCGGUGCUAUCUCCGGUACAAGCGCACUUUCCUUAAGGUAUUGCCACGCAUCUGCUUUGAAUGCGACACGUAUUGCACCUCUGCGUAAUGCCAAUACCGGUAUACUUAUUUGUGUUUUUGGCAGGUCAGGAACAUUCCUUCCGCGACUCGGUUCUGGUCAGAGCGGAACAGCUGGCAUCGCGAUGCAUAAAUUUGUUUUCUUGCUAUGUGCAUUUUAUUUCACGAUCCUCAUCAGGAACGCUGCCUGCGAGUUAUUCCAUCAUCACUUAUUUUUCAUAUGGCGUCUGCUUCCCUUUCCCCGCCAGCUCGUCCAUUAAGUUGGCUGGGUGGGUUCGGAGCUCCCAGCAGGACUCUUACCUAUUGGACCGAACGACAGGAAAAGAUCAUUGAAAAUACUAUUUUGUUUUUUUUAAUAAUAUACUGUAUGUUAUUACCCAUUAUGCGAGAACAUUUAGUUGACAUUGCCUAUUUGCCCGCGGUCGUUGACGGUUGGCCAACACAUCGGCAAUAAACAAGAAGCCUCGUCUAAAUCCUGUCCAUAAGCAAAC
rnacentral:lncRNA from 1 species